rnacentral:rRNA from 1 species
AGAAUGUGGUUUAAUUCGAAGCGACGCGAAGAACCGUACCUAAGCGUGCCAUCCCAAUGACAUCUCCUUAAUCGGGGAGUUCCCUUCGGGGACAUUGGUGACAGGUGGUGCAUGGUUGUCGUCAGCUCGUGUCGUGGGAUGUUGGGUUAAGUCCCGCAACGAGCGCAACCCUUGUCUUUAGUUGCCAUCAUUAAGUUGGGCACUCUAGAGAGACUGCCAGGGAUAACCUGGAGGAAGGUGGGGAUGACGUCAAAUCAUCAUGCCCCUUAUGCUUAGGGCUACACACGUGCUACAAUGGGUAGUACAGAGGGU